rnacentral:lncRNA from 1 species
UUUUGUUUUUGAGCUGGGAGAAAAUUUAACAUCACGCUGUAAUCAUCUUUACCAUCACCAAAAAGUUCUAUUUAUUGUUUGGUGCCAUGGUUAUAAUACCGUCUAAUUUUUAUGUUGUAUGUGUAAUGAAUUACUCACCUCCAUUAUAUUUAAUGAUUUAACGUAUUCACGUUUUCCUAAAAUUUUGUUUUACUAGUAAACAUUAGAUUUUUAUCAUAUCUAUUAUUAGUAGAAGCAUUUAUUUUGGUUCAUAUUUGUUCCUUGAUAGGGUUAUCAUUGCUCUCUUUUUGGGUAUUUAUUUUGUUACAACAAAUUAAAAUGGUUUGCCAAAACAAGAGAACAUUUAGUAGUUAGUAGCUUAUAAGCUUAUGAUUUUCCCCCUUUGCCAUACGUCUAAUUUUUAUAAUAUAUGUGUAAUGAAUUACUUACAUCCAUUAUAUUUAAUGGUUUGGCUUGUUCACCUUUUCCUAAAAUUUAGUUUUGUAGUAAAACAUUAGAUUUUAUUAUAUUUAUUAUUAGUAGAAGCAUUUAUUUCGGUUCAUAUUUGUUCCUUUGAUAGGGUUGUCAUUGCUUUCUUUUUGGGGACUUAUUUCUUUUACAAAAAACUAAAAUGGUUUGCCAAAACAAGAGAACAUUGAGUAGUUAGUAACAGAUAAGCUUACGGUAUUUUCCCUUGCCAUCUUUAUAUUCCCCUUAAGUCCCUUGAUUUUCUGAAAAUGCAGACA